UCAGGAUGAACGCUAGCUACAGGCUUAACACAUGCAAGUCGAGGGGAAACGAUAUUGGAAGCUUGCUUCCGAUAGGCGUCGACCGGCGCACGGGUGAGUAACGCGUAUCCAACCUGCCCACCACUUGGGGAUAACCUUGCGAAAGUAAGACUAAUACCCAAUGAUAUCUCUAGAAGACAUCUGAAAGAGAUUAAAGAUUUAUCGGUGAUGGAUGGGGAUGCGUCUGAUUAGCUUGUUGGCGGGGUAACGGCCCACCAAGGCGACGAUCAGUAGGGGUUCUGAGAGGAAGGUCCCCCACAUUGGAACUGAGACACGGUCCAAACUCCUACGGGAGGCAGCAGUGAGGAAUAUUGGUCAAUGGGCGAGAGCUUGAACCAGCCAAGUAGCGUGCAGGAUGACGGCCCUAUGGGUUGUAAACUGCUUUUAUAAGGGAAUAAAGUGAGUCUCGUGAGACUUUUUGCAUGUACCUUAUGAAUAAGGACCGGCUAAUUCCGUGCCAGCAGCCGCGGUAAUACGGAAGGUCCGGGCGUUAUCCGGAUUUAUUGGGUUUAAAGGGAGCGUAGGCCGGAGAUUAAGCGUGUUGUGAAAUGUAGACGCUCAACGUCUGCACUGCAGCGCGAACUGGUUUCCUUGAGUACGCACAAAGUGGGCGGAAUUCGUGGUGUAGCGGUGAAAUGCUUAGAUAUCACGAAGAACUCCGAUUGCGAAGGCAGCUCACUGGAGCGCAACUGACGCUGAAGCUCGAAAGUGCGGGUAUCGAACAGGAUUAGAUACCCUGGUAGUCCGCACGGUAAACGAUGGAUGCCCGCUGUUUGCGUCUGACGUAAGCGGCCAAGCGAAAGCAUUAAGCACCCCACCUGGGGAGUACGCCGGCAACGGUGAAACUCAAAGGAAUUGACGGAAGG
rnacentral:rRNA from 1 species